rnacentral:rRNA from 1 species
GAGACGCUGGCGGCGUGCCUAAUACAUGCAAGUCGAACGGAGAUGUACUUGUGUUCGCAUGGGUGCAUCUUAGUGGCGAACGGGUGAGUAACGCGUUGGUGACCUGCCCCGAGAGGUGGGAUAACACUGGGAAACCGGUGCUAAUACCGCAUGAACUUAUUCAGGUUAGAGGCCGAAUAAGGAAAGGCCGAGAGGAGGAAACGAAUCUUGGUCGUCUCGGGAGGGGCCUGCGUCCCAUCAGGUAGUUGGUAGGGUAACGGCCUACCAAGCCGAUGACGGGUAGGGGGCCUGAGAGGGUGACCCCCCACAAUGGAACUGAAACACGGUCCAUACACCUACGGGUGGCAGCAGUAAAGAAUCUUCCGCAAUGGGCGAAAGCCUGACGGAGCAACACUGCGUGGUGGAUGAAGGCCUUCGGGUUGUAAACACCUUUUCUGGGGGAAGAAGUUCUGACGGUACCCCAGGAAUAAGCGACGGCUAAUUACGUGCCAGCAGCCGCGGUAAUACAAGCC